UACGUAGGGUGCGAGCGUUAAUCGGAAUUACUGGGCGUAAAGCGCACGUAGGCGGAUAUUUAAGUCAGGGGUGAAAUCCCAGAGCUCAACUCUGGAACUGCCUUUGAUACUGGGUAUCUCGAGUAUGGAAGAGGUGAGUGGAAUUCCGAGUGUAGAGGUGAAAUUCGUAGAUAUUCGGAGGAACACCAGUGGCGAAGGCGGCUCACUGGUCCAUUACUGACGCUGAGGUGCGAAAGCGUGGGGAGCAAACAGG
rnacentral:rRNA from 1 species